rnacentral:rRNA from 1 species
CCUACGGGCGGCAGCAGUGAGGAAUAUUGGUCAAUGGGCGAGAGCCUGAACCAGCCAAGUAGCGUGAAGGAUGAAGGUCCUACGGAUUGUAAACUUCUUUUAUACGGGAAUAAAGUUUCCUACGUGUAGGAUUUUGUAUGUACCGUAUGAAUAAGCAUCGGCUAACUCCGUGCCAGCAGCCGCGGUAAUACGGAGGAUGCGAGCGUUAUCCGGAUUUAUUGGGUUUAAAGGGAGCGCAGACGGGAGAUUAAGUCAGUUGUGAAAGUUUGCGGCUCAACCGUAAAAUUGCAGUUGAUACUGGUUUCCUUGAGUGCAGUUGAGGCAGGCGGAAUUCGUGGUGUAGCGGUGAAAUGCUUAGAUAUCACGAAGAACCCCGAUUGCGAAGGCAGCUUGCUAAACUGUAACUGACGUUCAUGCUCGAAAGUGUGGUUAUCAAACAGGAUUAGAUACCCGAGUAGUC